GCAGAGCGGGCCUGGCCUGCAGGAGCUGCCGUGUCGGUUGUUGCCUUUCCUCUGCUUUAUGUCGCCCCGCCACCCUAUCUCCGGGUCGGCGAGGGCCUGAGGAGGCCUGCGGAGAGGGGCGCUGGUUGGUUUAACACAGGACGUGCCCGGGUCGUGCCCUUUUAGCUUCCGCCUGUGUUCCAUCCCAGGCUGUCAUAUAUUCCUGUACAUAGUGGUUCUUGGUUGUUCUGCUUUAAACUUAUGUCUACAGUCCCUGACUUACAGUGAUUCAAUUUAUAAUUUUGUGCUUUGCAAAAGCAAAAGUUGAGGACAAACUCUACCUGGAAUUUUGAACUUUGAUCAUUUCCUGAGCUGGCGAUAAGUAGUAUGAUACUCUUGUGAUGCUGGGUAGUGACAGUGAAGCUGUCAGCCACACAGUCGGAAAGCUCUGGAGGUUAGAAGUACAAGAUCAAGGGUCUAGCUGACUUGUGGUUUCCAGUGAGGGCUCUCUUCCUGG